GAAAUGCGAUAAUUAAUGUGAAUUGCAGAAUUCAGUGAAUCAUCGAGUCUUUGAACGCACAUUGCACCCCCUGGUAUUCCGGGGGGUAUGCCUGUCCGAGCGUCAUUGCUGCCCUCAAGCACGGCUUGUGUGUUGGGUCGUCGUCCCCCCCCCGGGGACGGGCCCGAAAGGCAGCGGCGGCACCGCGUCCGGUCCUCGAGCGUAUGGGGCUUUGUCACCCGCUCUUGUAGGCCCGGCCGGCGCUGGCCGACGCUGAAAAGCAACCAACUAUUUCUCCAGGUUGACCUCGGAUCAGGUAGGGAUACCCGCUGAACUUAAGC
rnacentral:misc_RNA from 1 species